CAACGCGUAACGACGUACGACAUUCUCCAGAGAACCUGGUCUCCAGCUAUUGUUCUAAGGCCAGCCGCAACACCAAGAUCUACGAUUGUGAAGACUGAAGACGGUCGUGAAAUCCGUCGCACAAGAGAGCACCUGCGGGAGGCAGCACCUCAACCGGACCCAGAAUCAACCUCGCAGGGGCUUUCAGAAGACGAGCUCCGGCCUGGACAACAGCAGUUACGCAGGAGCACAAGAUUGCGUCGGGAACCCUGUCGAUACCCGUUGCCAGAUGAAACUUCUAGACCAUCCCAUCAUUAAAGGGGAGAUGUGGCCAUAUCACGCUGUCAUUCUGAUAGCGCCCAGACUGUUAACACGUGGCGUCUACGUCACGUGUUAACUAAGCUCAGUGGAGAUCGUCAACACGUUUUUGUCUAUCUUCGAGCGAGUAGGGUGUCCCGCAGAAAUCUUAGGGCAGAACUAAGGGAGCUCGUGUUUGAAUUGAAAGACAUAUUUUCAGACAUACCUGGCAGGACCGCUGCAAUCGUUCACGAUAUAGAGUUAACCUCAUCGGACCCAAUUCGUUCGAAAGCUUAUUGCGUUUCACCUCGUCAACGUCAAGUCAUGGCCACUAAAAUAAACAAGAUGUUAGAGCUAGGUGUAAUCGAACACGGAGAGAGUGAUUAUACCUCGCCUCUCGUCUUAGUUGAGGUCACACGAAAGGAGCCGCGACCGUGUAUCGACUAUCGCAGGUUCAACUUAAUCACGAAGGACCAGACCUUCCCUAAUCCGCAUAUCGAGAAAAGGCUUGAGAGAGUUGGCAGUGGUGAUAUCAUCUCCAGGCUCGAUUUAGUCAGAGGGUACUGGCAGGUUCCGUUGACCGAGAGGGCAAGCAGGCUUGCGGCGUUUAUUUCCCCGAUGGGAACCUUUCGGCCGAACGUGCUGAGCUUUGGAGUGAAGAAAGUGCCCUAUUGUUUCUCUAGCUUUAUGGACCAGGUGCUACGAGGAAUGGAGGACUUUACACUUCCUUAUCUCGAUCAGAGUCCCUCUAUACUUUUACUGGUCAUGAACCUUCGCCGUCUAGCUAUGGAAGAUCUCUGUGCACUGCCAGCGGAGGCCGCAGUGUGGCGCUGCGUGAAGCGGAGGGGCAGUAUAAUAGCAAGAGCUUGGUGGCGCAACCCACCGCCCGUUCCGAAGGGGACGGUGAUAACAUCCAUCCAUCCGGGCAUCGCGGAGGCGUGAACUAAGGUGGCAGCUGCUGUCAGUGCGAAGUAGCCUGGCUUGUGAGCUGACAGUUUUCGGCUUCUCCGUGUGCUGUGUCGCAUGAAAAUGUGCCCUAGGUGUGCCUGAAAGCCGGGUCAGGAUACCGCGCACUUGUUGGGUGCCUGGAUGCCGCUCCGGGUACAGGGAAAAUGCAGACAAAGUGUUGAUGUUCCGCCUGCCCAGUGACAGCGACCGGCGUGAAAAAUGGAAGCGCGCCAUACCACGCCGAGAACCUCCUGGCUUCAGUUUCGAAUCCCCGCAUGUGCGUAUCUGUGAAAAGCACUUCGAUGCGAGUGACAUUGUGCGUGCGGAUCAAUGGGUAGUUGAUGGCAUGGUCGUGACGUCGCAGUGCGAUGUGCCAGAACUUUCUCCUGAUGCCGUGCCGAGCAUUUUCGAAGGCCUCAUUGCGUAUUUGUAAAAUCCGAAAAAGUGCAGAACUCACUCGCCUCGACAGCCUAAGGCCACCAAGCUUGCCGGGAACCGUCAGCUGACCUGGAUAGCUCCGGCGCUGCAGCGACGAUGUGCUCGAGUUUGACGGGCGCAGAUGCAAGGGAGGCUGGCGCAGGCAUUGCGGGGAACGGAAGCGUACGUGUAGACGCCGCCUGUCAAACGAAGGCAGCUGUAUGCAGCUUCUCGCAGCUUAAAAAAUUGAAGGCCCAUAUCCGUUGCUUGGAGCAACGAUUUCAGUGCUGUCAACUGAAGCUCGCCAGGGUGACAGCUGCUUCAUUGCUUCAUCACUGCUUCAUUCAUACUGAUUGUAGUUACGAACAAAAUACAUUGGAUAAAAUGGAAAAUAAAUGUUUACAAGUAAG